GUAAUUGAAAGCUUUCAAUGAAGGUCAACUCUGAAAUCGAGGCAAAUCUUCCAUCUUGGCUGCAUCUCCAUUGCUUCGACAGUUAUGAACCUCGCCGCAUUAAUGAUCAUUAAUAAUUGCUCGCUGCACAAUACUCCCGUGCAUUUGGAUCUGCUUGCCGUGCGUGUGUACGUGCGCGUGCGCGCGCAACAGUUUAACCUCGGAACCGCAACAACUGAGGCUUUCUAAUCGGUCUCUCACUCCUUCCUCCUCCACCCUGCAGCCUCGCUGUAGCCGCCUUCUCUCCCUCUCUCCAUUUGUCUCUCUCUCCCCUCCUGCCUGCUUGCUUGCCUCCGCUCUUGCGUCCUGAUCCGACUCGUUUCUGACACCGCGAGCACUACGCCGCCGCGAAGCAGAGCACCAGGGGCAUAGGAGGAGGAGGUGCAGGAGGAGAGGGCCCCGGUAGCGAGAAGUCGGAACCGGCCAACGAGCGCGCGCGCUCGCGCGUGGCAGGUUGGCGAAAGGUAAGCCGACUGUGCCCUUGGGUCCACGGGCGGGAUGGGGGAUCGAAAGCGCGCGUGGAUCUGCCAGCAGGCUACAUUGCUACGAGAGUCAUUUUCCUUCCGUCUUUGCCCAUCAUCAUCGUCAUUAUCAUCACUCAUUAUC